ensembl:lncRNA
UCAUGGUUCAAACUCACAGAGUGCAGCAGACUCUCAGCACAGUAACAUCCACCAUCACAGCGCCACUGAGAUCCUCUGGUUCUUUUACAAAGUUCCCCAUGAUGACUCGUGUUUUCUUCACCUCGCGGCGUUUUCCCAUUAUAGCGUGUAUAGGAGGAGGAGUCUGCCAGCUGUAGCUUGUUUGCAGACUCGGUGCGUUUUGCACUAAGCCAGUGCUUCUAUGGGUCAGGCUUAGUUCCAGUCUGAAUUAAAAUGAAUUAAUUAUAUUUUUUCCUCUUGUUUUCAAAAAGAGUUUCUUUGACGGACAGCUUGUGAGGAGACACAGCAGCAGGGAUAUUUGGUCAUGACCGUCUCCGUUUAACUCUGCGAUGGAGUCAAGUAUGAGACUUAUUGUUCUUCUGAUUGUGAUGAGAUUUUCUGCUUCUGAGGAAGUGAAGAAGAACCUGACGGGCACUGUGGGAGGAAACAUCACUCUACCUGACUCUGUGCAGGAGAAAGACGUAGGAUUUCUGUUAUAUGGAAGAACGAAUAUUGCUCAUGUGAUUAAGGGGGGAUUUGAAAUACACAAGGACAUUUACAUGAACAGACUUCAGUGGGACAGAAACUCUGGACUCUUUACACUCACAGAGCUGCAGAGGGACGACUCAGGGAUUUAUACUGUCGACUCUAAAACAGGAAAAGUUUUCACAUCAUCAUAUAAGCUCACAGUGUACGAUCCUGUACCAACACCUAACGUGACAAAGCUGAACUCCAGCUCUGAGAGCUGCUCCUUACUGUGUUGGGUGGACAGAGAGACCACACUGCUGUGGUUCAAAGACGAGCAGAUGCUGAACCAGAGCAGCUCUGCGCUCUCUCUGCCUCUCACUGUGCACAAACAGGACUUCAGCUCCUCUUACAGAUGUGUGGCUGCAAACCCUGCAGAGGAGAAAACUCUUCCUGUCCGUGUGAGAACCACCUGUGGAGACACAGACGACAACGACACCAACAGCUCGACUGAACCAAGAAACUAUAACAUCCUCAUUAUAAUCUUCUGUCUCCUGUUGGUUGUGAUGAUCAUACUUGCUACUUUCAUCAUCAAGUCAAAGUAUCUUUCCCGAAACAAAACGAAGACAAACGGACAGGCACAAGGCUCCGCAGGCACACAGGAAGAGGUCCAAUAUAGUGAAAUACAAAUAAGCAACAACAGACAGGGGGAAAAUAUACCAGAGUCCUCAACAACGAUCUGCCACACCAACCUGACCACAGUAUACGAUAAGCUGGAGGCCCAUCGCAUGAUCACGGACAACCAUGCUGAAAAUACCUGAGACCACACGAGAAAUUCCCAACCGAGAGUUUCCAGAAAGAAAAUUUUCAGACUAGUGUUACCUGUUGCUUGUCAGGUGAUACUCCCUCUAACCCGGAUGCUCCCAUUGGUCCAGAGCCGUCCUCUGGUUCUCAGCAGCAGUGUGGACCAACAUCACCUGGAACCUCUGUUACAAAAAGACUUUUUUGUGUAAUGAUCAGUGUUGGGAAGGUUACUUUUAACAUGAAUUCCACUACAGAUUACAGAUUACAUGCCCCAAAAUGUAUUUUGUAAUGUAAUCCAUUACAUUACUCAAUGAGAGUAACGUAUUCUGAAUACUUUGGAUUACUUAAUAUAUUAUCAUCCUUUUUACAACUACAUGAAUGUGAUUUAUUACUAUUACUGAAGGUUACUCUCCACACCAACACCAGCUAGAUGUUUGAAUCUUAAUAUAAAUGAGUAACAGUAGGUGGACAUUAGGUAAGGCUGCACUUUUUGCUGUGAUCUCGUGUAGAAAACUAUUCCUCGCGUAUAUAAAACAGGUCCGCGGCUCUGAACCGUAGUAAAGGGACCUCUGGCUGAUACGUCGGGUUCAUGUCGGCUCGUAGCUGAAAACUAGCUUUGCUUUGUUGUCUGGGUCACUUUGCUAGCAGAGACAGAGAGAGGCGUUGAAAGGCUGCUGCAACAGAACUUAUUGUUUCAGAGGAAACAGGAACACAGUGUACAGUCGAGUCUUAACAGCUUACUCACAGCUGGGCUCGUCGGCUCUGUUUGGCUGCAGUGGUUAUUAUUAUAUUUACAUGCUUCAUACAUGCGAUGCCUGUAACACUCUGCCUAUUGCCUUCAUAUUAAAUCUUUUUUUGAAUAAUAAUUUUUUUAAAUAUUCCUUCGCGUCAUUAUGCGGCUGCAAGUAGAGGUGACAUGAGCCGUGACGUUCAGACACGGCAUUAGAGCCUCGCGUGUUUUGUUUGGGUUUCCACCGGCGUGGACUUACAGAAAAUAGAGAGGGGACAGCCGAACAUAUGAAACAGGAAAAUACCGCCGUGUAAUCCGUUUAUUUUGACAAAGUUACUGUAUUCUAAGUACCACCUUUUUAAACGGUAACUGUAACUGAAUACAGUUACUCAUAUUUUGUAUUUUAAAUAUGUAACGGCGGUACAUGUACUCCAUUACUUCCCAAGACUGGUAAUAACCAUAUUCAACAUUACAAGGACACUCAGCAGCAACCGGUCCAACCAGGUCGGGUCCAAGCAGCUCUGCAGCCGUCUUCUCAACAGCCAACUCUCUGCACCUCAUAUGUCCUCGCCAGCUGACUGUAAUACUGCUGAAUACUGAAAUGUCUGAUCUUAAUCAGAGAUCCGUCCAUCUGUCAAUCAGACCCUCUUUUCUGCUGACUCAGUUAAAGAAGCUUACACCUCACCUCUGGUAUCUGUUGGUCUCUCAGCUAUAGUAACUGCACUCGUGCACAAUCCAGGGAUUCAGCAGCUUUUGUCCUGCGUCCAGUUUGUUUGAAAUCCUGGUGGAAACGGUGGCUUCUGAUGUUCAUGCUCACCUCUCUGCCAAUAACCUUCAUGAACAAUAACAUGUGGUUUCCACCUCCUCACAGCAACAGCCUCGGUAAAUGUCCACACCCAGUUCAUUCUCUGAACUCACACCCAAGGAUCUGACCUGGAGUCUGUUCUGUUUAUUAUUUAUCUACUUCUUAUUGGUCAAAUCUUCCCCUUAAUAUCAGUUCAGCAUCAUUAUCAUUAUUAUCAUUAUUAAUUAAUUAAUAUUUGCUGGUUUUAUACGUUUUAAGCUUUGGUUUCUGUCCUGUGGAGCUAAACGUGAUCACUGAUGUUCAACAACAUUUAUUAGUUUAUAAAGUCCUAAUCCAUAACACACCCGUCCCUGUGUGAUGUCACUGUUACUUUAGUAGUGUGUGACAGCUAAUGUUUUUUCUUCUGCCCACAUAUUCUGUGAUAUUCUGCAAACGUGUAAUUAACAUGUAACUAAAGGCACAUUAAUCUGUCAUUUUUAACAAUGAAGUUAUUUAUAUUUGCAUGCCAAUAAAGACUGAACUUAUCAGACUGUUAUGGUG